rnacentral:rRNA from 1 species
GACGAACGCUGGCGGCGUGCUUAACACAUGCAAGUCGAACGAAGUGGCGAACGGGUGAGUAACGCGUAAUCAACCUGCCCUUCAGAGGGGGACAACAGUUGGAAACGACUGCUAAUACCGCAUACUGAAGGAGGGGAUUGCGUAGGAUUAGCUAGUGUGAGGGGUAACGGCCCACAAAGGCGAUGAUCAGUAGCCGGUCUGAGAGGAUGUACGUCCAACUUUGGGCUGGGACACGGCCCAGGUCCCUACGGGAGGCAACAGUUGGGAAACUUCCGCCAUUGACGAAAGUCUGACGGAGCAACGCCGGGUGAGUUAUGACGGCCUUCGGGUUGUAAAGCUCUGUUAAUCGGGACGCGGUACCGGAAUAGAAAGCCACGGCUAACUACGUGCCAGCAGCCGCGGUAAUAC